CGGAAGGACCGCUUAUCAUCACAUACAAGGAAGCACAAAUGGAAGAAGAUAAAAACCUCCGAAGUCAGGAACUGACGCCGACUUCCUUAUCACCUAUAGCCGAGUCAGGUUCAAAACAUUCAGAGAUAGGAGAAAGCAGCUCAGACGGACCAAAGAGGUUCAGAACUCUUCGAGAAAUUUAUGACAACACAGUGGAGAUCGAUCAAGACUACGGUCUUUACCUGAUGUCAAUUAAAGAACCAGCAUCUUACCAUGAAGCUGCCUGCAGUGAACAUUGACGACAAGCAAUGAUAGAAGAAAUGGAGGCUAUAAGGAGAAAUGGAACAUGGGAACUAGCAGAACUCCCAAAGGACCAGAGAGCUAUUGAUCUAAAAUGGAUCUUCAAAGUAAAGAAGAAUCCGGAAGGGGAGAUCAUUAAAUAUAAAGCGAGACUUGUUGCGAAUGGGUAUGUGCAGAAACAAGGCAUAUACUUUGAAGAAGUCUUUGCUCUUGUAGCCAGACUAAAGACAGUGAGAGUGUUACUUGUUGUAGCCGCACAAGAAGGAUGGAUAGUACAUCAUAUGGAUGUCAAAUCUGCAUUCUUGAAUGGUGAGAUAGAAGAAGAAGUUUACGUGUCACAACCAGACGAAUUCAUUGAACAAUGAGAGGAAGGAAAGGUUCUGAAGCUACGAAAGGCCCUGUAUGGUCUUAAGCAGGCGCCUCGGGCAUGGAAUAUAAAGCUAGACAAAUGUUUCUGAGAGCUGGGGUUUCAAAGAUGUAUGAUCGAACAUGCAGUCUACAAAAAACACAAUGGAGAUGAAGUGCAGAUUAUGGGAGUGUACGUAGAUGAUCUGAUAAUCAUAGGCUCAAAUCCGAGAGGUGUGGAGAAUUUCAAAGCCAAGAUGAGAAAGAUCUUCGAGAUGAGUGAUCUUGGGAUGCUAAGCUACUGCCUGGGUAUAGAAGUCAAGCAAAGGCCGUAUAGCAUCACCCUUAACCAGUCAGGGUAUGCUGAGAAGAUGCUCGAGAAGCUCGGCCUGGCAGAGUGCAAGCCAUGUCGGGUUCCAAUGGAUACACGGGUGAAGCUGAGCAAGUCAGAUGGAAGUCCUCCGGUAGAUGCAACACUAUACAGGAGUGCAAUCAGAAGUCUGAGGUAUUUGGUGAACACUUGACCCGAUCUUGCAUAUUCAGUUAGAAUUGUUAGUCGUUUCAUGGAAGCCCCAACAACGAAACAUCUAGCAGCCGUGAAACAGAUAUUGCGUUAUGUGAAAGGCACCUUACAUCAUGGGUGCAUAUACAACAAGGUGGAAGAGGAGGAGUUCAAGCUAGUAGGUUAUAGCGACAGUGACUUAGCUGGAGACGUGGAUGAUCGAAAAAGCACGACAGGGGUAAUCUAAUUCCUCGGCCAAAGCCCUGUCACCUGGAUUUCUCAAAAGCAGAAAUUCGUAGCCUUAUCCUCAUGUGAAGCCGAGUAUAUUGCUGCAACAGCAGGAGCUUGUCAAGGCAUAUGGAUUAGUAGGUUGUUACAUGAGUUGAUAAGUUGGAAGACAAACAAGUUUGUAUUAAGAGUUGACAACAAAUCUGCAAUCGCUCUCACAAAGAAUCCCGUCCAUCAUAACAGAAGUAAGCACAUAGAUAUUAAGUUUCAUUUCAUUCAGAAGUGUGUCCAAAGAGGAGAAGUCGAAAUCGAGUAUGUAAAAACUGAAUCACAACUCGCUGAUAUUUUGACAAAGCCACUGUUCCAAGACAAAAUCGAUGACUUGAGCAUGAGGAUUGGGAUCAAAGAUGUGAAGAACAAGCUUACGGGGGAGAAAUGAAGAAAUUAAGCUUGCUAUGCCAGUUGUUAAGCGAGCUGUUACACGUAUCCACUUUGCAUAACAUCAUCCAAGUGCCCAUGGUUGAAGACCAGACAUAAAAUUGAAUAGUUUGUCCUCCUCGGACAUAUUUUGGAUAUCCAGCAUCAAAGAACUAAAUUCCUUGACAUAAUCCCUUACCGUACCCGAUUGUUUCAGCCGUUUUAAAGAAUCCCUUGCAACCCAAGAGGCAUUGCAAGGUAGGAACUGGUCCUUCAUUUCCUUCUUUAAUCUCUCCCACGAGUCAAUCCUCGGCCUGCCAGCACUGGCAUCAUCAGACAUACGGGUUCGCCACCACAACUUGGCAUCCCCUGACAAGUACAUGCUAGUGAUUGUAACUUGCUCCACAUCCUUUCCUCUGUUUUUCAAAAUUAUGCAGAAAAAUUACAGAAACUGCAGAGGCUUCAAAAGUUGCAGAACCUUCAAAGCCUUAGAUCCGCAAUAUCGCUUACAUCUUUAGGGUGAUCAUAUUCACAGUUUACACUUGGUAUUAGAGCCCGGAACCUAGUUUAUGCCCAAAUACAUGCCACGACACGAAUCUUCAUCGUCCAGUGCUGUCCGUAGUGGUAAUGGUGGCAAUAGUGGCCAGACGACAGAAACUGGACAGACGGCAAAAACGGUAGUGAGAGCGCCCAUAAGAGAAGGGGGUGUCUCUCUGCAGUAUCCGCUUCUAACAAAGACAAAUUAUGCGGCUUGGGCAAUCAAGAUGCAAGCAUAUAUGCAACUCAAGGUGUUUGGGAUGUUGUUGAAUUAGAAGAUCCAGUUGAUCCUCGUUCAGACCGGAUUGCAUUGGCGGCAAUCUUUCAAGGAAUCACCGAAGAUACCCUGUUACAGUUGGGGGUAAAGAAAUCAGCUAAAGAGGCAUGGGACGCUCUCAAGGUUAUGAACCUCGAUGCAGAGAGGGUCAAAGAAGUACGGGAACAAGCUCUCAGAUGGGAGCUCGAAAGCAUGAAGAUGGAGGAUGGUGAAUCCGUCGAUGAGUUCACUGGAAAGAUUUCGACAGUUGUCAACAAGCUCCAAGCUCUUGGUGAAAGGGUUGAUGAAACGUAUGUAGUGAAGAAAAUGCUACGUUCAAUGUCCCCUAAAUACCUUCAGAUUGCCUCAACCAUAAAAGAAUUCGGGAACUUGUCUGUUAAGACAAUUGAAGAUGUAACUGGUUCUCUCAAAGCUCACGAGGAGAGGUUGCGGAGCUACGAUUCCAGAAGAGACGAAUAUGUGCUACUCACUAAAGGAGAGUGGAAAGCACGAGCUGAGUCCUUAAGAUCCAACUAGAAGUGCCCAUAUGAUGUGAGCAGAGGCCGAGGACGGGGACGUGGUAGAUGACGCAGUAGAGGUAGAGGAGGAGGUCGCAGCAGGGGUCGUGGCCCUCUUGGAACAGGCCGAGGUCAGGAUGAUGAAGGACAACAUCGUCAGAAGUUCGACAUUAAAAAGGUCAGGUGUUACAAUUGCAAUGAAUAUGGCCAUUUUCAAUCUGAUUGCAAAGCUGAAAGAAAAGAAAAAAAAUGAGGCACAUUUAGUGGAGCAAUUCGAAGAGGAGUCAACGUUGUUAAUGCUAGAAGCCAGUGAGCUAAUCCAUAUCGACGAAGAGAAGAAAGAAGAGCUGAUGCUGAAUGAAGAACAGAUGCAUGAUUUCUAUGGAGGAGAAACGACAGGAACCAUGUGGUACUAUGAUACAGGGGCAAGCAACCAUAUGAUAGGCAACAAGCUAGCCUUAACCAAUCUCGAUGAAUCAAUCAAAGGGAAUAUCAGGUUCGGUGAUGGUUCAGUCGUCAAGGUAGAAGGCUGAGGCACCUCAGUGUUUCAGUGCAAGGAUGGAGAUCAUUUUAAACUAACGAAUAUAUAUUACAUUCCUCGAUUAAGAUCCAAUAUUAUAAGUCUUGGUCAACUCAAAACCUGUGCUGAAAUUGCCUGAUUUUUUUUUUGCACCAUUUGAAGUACAUACUGACGCUUCUGAUAAGGCUAUUGGAGGGGUGCUGGUCCAGGAAGGACAUCUCGUUGCCUUUGAGAGCAGGAAGCUAAAUAAAGCUGAGCAGAAAUAUUCUGCCCAUGAAAAGGAGAUGGUUGUUGUUGUCCAUUGUCUCCAUGUGUGGAGAGUGUACUUGCUGGGUAUGAAGUUUGUUGUUAAAACUGACAACGUUGCUAACACCUUCUUUAAGACUCAGAAGAAGUUAUCUCCCAAGCAGGCUCGUUGCCAGGAAUUUCUGGCUGAAUACGAUUUUGUGUGGGAGCACAAGCUAGGCAGGCAUAAUCAGGUUGCUGAUGCCUUAAGCAGAAAAGAGGUAGUGGUUGCAUUGUAUAACACUACUCGUGUCCAGUCUGAUAUGAUGGACAAGAUUCGUAGCCAUGGCAUGGAGGAUGCUAGUUACAAAAAGCUGGUUCAGCAGAUUAAGGAUGGAGUUGUGAGAAGAUAUUAUCUGGAAGAUGAUUUCUUGAUGGCUUCAGGUGGCAGAUUGUUUGUUCCUAGUGUUGGUGGCCUAAGAAGGGAGAUUCUUAGGGAGACACAUGACCCUCAGUGGGCUGGGCAUCCAGGAGUGAGGAGAAUGAUGGCUCUUCUUGGUAGGAACUAUUUCUGGCUGAAGAUGGAGGAGGAUGUUGUGGCUUAUAUUCGCACUUAUGUAGUGUGUCAAUAAGACAAGAGUGAGCACCAGAAGCAAGCUGGUUUGCUUCAACCAUUGGCCAUUGCGGAGAAACCUUGGGAGUCCGUGUCUAUGGAUUUCAUUGGGGGAUUUCCUAAGGUAAGUGAUAUGUCUUCUGUUAUGGUUGUGGUGGAUCGAUUCUCCAAGUACGCGGUGUUUAUUCCUGCCCCUUCUGUCUGUCCAUCCGAUGUUGCUACUGACUUGUUUUACAAAAAUGUUGUGAAGUACUUUGGCUUACCAAGAGACGUUGUGAGUGACCGGGAUGCACGGUUCACUGGUCAAUUCUGGACUGCUUUAUUCAACAUGAUGGGGACGGAGUUGAAAUUCUCCACUGCCAAUCAUCCCCAAAUCGAUGGGCAAACCGAGAGAAUCAAUGGGUUGCUUGAGGAGUACCUUAGGCAUUAUGUGAGUGCAAGUCAAAGAAACUGGUUGGAACUGUUGGGUAGUGCACAAUUCUGUUAUAAUUUGCAUAAAUCUUCUUUUACAGAAGCGAGUCCAUUUGAACUUGUUCUGGGGCAUCAACUCAACACUCCUGUGGAGAUGGCCAAACAGGGGGCUGGUGGCAAGUGUCCUGCUGCAUAUAAGUUCGCCAAGGGUAGAUAGGAGUUACUAGAAGAAGCUGGUGACAGCCUGAGAAAAGCCUCAAGGAGAAUGAAGAAAUAUGCAGACAGGGGGAGAAGGGACGUGGAGUUCGACAUUGGCGAGAAGGUGCUGGUGAAGUUGACUCCACAGAUUUGGAAGAAGAUAAGCAGUAAAACCGUGCAUAGGGGAUUGAUCCCUAAGUAUGAUGGGCCCUUUGAAGUUGUGGCCAAGGUGGGCAAUGUUGCCUACAAGCUGAAAUUGCCCUAAAGAUUGAAAGUUCAUCCAACUUUCCAUGUGAGUUUCCUUAAGAAGUUUCACGAAGAUGUCGCUGAGUCAUCAAGGAGCCAAGCGAAGAUGUAACGACCCCAAAAUGGACUGUCACCGGCGCUAGGAUUCGGGUCGGUUUAAGGCCGCCAGAACCCGUAGCAAGCCUGCUAUACUCUCUGUAUACCUGUAAAACUCAUACAUGAUCAUGUAAAAAUAAAAACUCUUUUCUCUGUACCAAGGCUUAACCUGUGCAUGCACUAUCUCUGUACUCUGUACUCUGUACUCUGUACUCUGUACUCUGUACUCUGUACGCUGUACCCCUGACUAGAGCUUGCUCUAGAUGGGUUCAUAUCUGUUAAGCCUGGUAAUAAAACAUAUAUACAUAUACAGAUCAUGUACAUAACAAGAGCUUUACAACACAAUACAAUUAAGUCAAGCACAACUCUAACUGUAUACACAACUAUUACAUCUCUUUACACUUUACAUGUCCACUCUAUACUAUUACAAGUUCCUGUACUCUUUCUGUACUCUGCUGGACUGUCGCUGUACACUGUACACUGAACCUGCAAAACUGGGGUUAAGGGAGUGGGAUGAGCUCUAUAACCCAGUGAGUAGAACAGUAAAACAUCUCAGUAAAACAUGAUCUCAUGGAAUGCACCAUAUCACAAAUAAUCCACAUCAAGAGUAAACCUGUCACCACAUAGUCCCAGUAACUCUGUGCCAGGGCGUAGAAUCGAGCACCUGGUCUUCCUGUCAUAUAUGUAUAUGUGUAUAUAACACCUCUGUACUUACCAUUGCCAGGGCGUAGUCAAAGGCUCCUGGACUUUACUAUAUACCUGCCAGGGCGUAGUCAAAGGCUCCUGGUCUUUACUCUACCUGCCAGGGCGUAGUCAAAGGCUCCUGGUCUUCCUGUCUGAGACUAUUGGAUCAUUCAGCAUUUACCCACAUCAACAAAUAAUUAUGCAAUGCAACAUAUUCGUGGACACUAAUGCAAUCAACCUAAGGGAUAAUCAUGAUGCAUGAGAUAUGCUAAAACAUUCCAGUGUUCAGUUCAAGUAAAAGCAUUAAGUUUAGUUCCACUCACCUCUGGCUAUCUGGACUGACUGACUCUGCAGGCUCUGUAACCCUCUGGAGCAGAACUCACUGCUGCUCUCUCUGGUUCCUCUGGUCUGUAUAGGUACAGAUAAACUCAAAUGAGGGACCAAACUAGCUUAUGACUAACUCUAUUAACCUCCCCAAGAAUCCCCUUAAACGCACUCAACUAUCCAUGCAAAGCAUGCAAAAGAAGGCUGGACAGAACACUUUCGGCGGCAGGUUCGGCGGCCAAAAGUCCUCUCCAGAGACGAAACUCAAGCACCUUCGGCGGCCGAACUUUCACUUUCGGCUGCCGAACCCUUUUGGGGGCAAGGUUCGGAGGCCACAAGGCACUCCAGAGACGAAAGUCUCUAACCUUCGGCGGCACCUUCAGCGGCCGAACUUCCCUCCAGAGCCGAAAGUCCAAAAGCUCGGGGGCAAGCUUGGGCAGCCGAAGCCACCUCCUCACACCUCUUCAGGGGUUCGGCGGCCGAAUGUACCUUCGGCGGCCGAACCUGAGUUCAUCAGCAGGGCAGAAACGUGCCCUGCCUCUUGCCAAAUGCACCACACUCAUUCAAACACAAACACCUCAAUUCCUUCACUUGCAUACACUCAUGUAUAUGCUCAAAGGGGUCCAAAACUACCUAAAAAACCCCAAACACACAACACAAACAACACAGAAACAAGCUCUAUGCACAAAAUCAUCAAAACCUCACAAAUAACCCUAUUCAUGCAACUCUCUCCAUAAACCCCAUAAAACCGUCAGAAAACAUACAAACAAGCUCAGGAUCUUCACUUACCUUGUGAAAACAAGUAGAUGAACGAUCCUAACGUGGAGUUUUGGAGCAACUUGCCUUUAAACUCGCCAAACUUCAAAACUUUGAGUGUUUAGCUUAAAACCUUCAAAUAAUCAUGAAAACUAAUCAAAUCUUUGCAUGAUUUAAUGAAAACAUGAAGAAAGACUCACCAAGGGCAGGAUCUCACCUCAGAAGACAAAAGAAACGGUGUUCUCACCGCUUCAACCGACUGAGGGCCAUUUAUAGGUGGCUGGCCAGACCACCUUCGGCGGCCACACGUGAAACCAAAAGCCAUGCAUGUUCGGCGGCCGAACCUCAACUUCGGCGGCCGAACCUGGCUUUUCUGCCUUGGUUCAUUUCACUCAAAAACUCAUUUCCUUAUACAUAAAACUUGAUGAACAUAGUAAAACAUUUAAGAAAAACAUAACGCAAACCCUUCUAGAGACUUCCGACAUCCCGGAUCCCACCAGAAAGCAGAAUUCCGAUGCCGGACUCCAGCCGGGUAUUACAGAAGAGAGCUCUGCCGGUUGUGAGGAAACAGUUCGAUGAUCAGAUUCGGGAGAUUCUGGAUCAUAGGACACUGGGGCAAAGCAAAAAGAAUAGGAGAACAGAGUUCCUUAUUCGAUGGAAAGACAAGCCAGUUUUAGAAGCUACUUGGGAAAGAGAUACAACCUUGUGGCAGUUUAAAGAGCAAAUAGAGGAUUAUUUGUGAGCCCUACCAACGAGGACGUUGGCUCCUUCUGGUGGGGUGGUUUGUUAGACCCUUGAGCCGGUUGGCUUAAGUUGGGGUGAAGUUGGGCCUUGAUUUCACCACAACUGGGAGUGUGCAGGGAUGCACUCGAUUGGCAAGGCUGUGUGCUGGGGCAGUGAUAGAGCAUAUUUUAGUCUAUUUUAUCAUUAUGUUCUUGAUGUUUAUUUACAUCUUUUCUACUUAAUUUUGUGGUUUUAAUUAUGUUUUGCAGAUAUUAGGUGUAAAGAGACAAUCUGGAGAAAAUGCUCUUAAAACUGCUAAAAAGUGCCAAAUAUGGAAAGUGCCAAAAAAGGAAAGUUUCCAAAUAAGGAAAGUUUUCAGAAAAGGAAAGUUUUCAAAUGAGGAAAGUGCAGAAGCAAAAGCAAAUAAGGAAAGCUCAGUCAGAAGAUCAUUUGAAAUUCAAAUCGCAUAUCUUUCUUUCCUUGUUCAAAGAUGUGCACACACUGCAGCAGUCAUAUCUUCCUAUUUAGGCAGCAAGAUCUCAAAGAGAUGCUAUUCCUCUUCUGCAUUCAAUAUUCAAAUUUCAAAAGAGGCUCCACCUAAAAAGGAAUGUAUGGACAAGCAUAUCUUCCCCUUUGAAGAUCAAAAUUCGUGCAUCCUUCCUAUUCAGAAACAAUCUGCGCAAUUUCCUCUUCUGAGAGCCAUCUGCGCACCACCUUCCUUUUCUGCAACAACUUGGGCAGCAAGUUGCACAUGGGCAGCACUUUGGGCAGCCUCUACACUAAUUAGGAAGAAAGAUCAGCAUCUAAACUUAUUUAGGAAGCAUAAUCUGCGCCUCCUUCCCUUUCUGAGACCAAACCGCGCGCACCAACUUCCUUCCGCAGUGCAUUUUCGCGCAGCCUUCCUUCUGAAGCCGAAAAGCGCGAUUCUUUCCUUUUCAGACACAUCUUGGGCAGAAAAUACCUCUUGGGCAGUAAGUAUGACCUAGGGCAACACUUUUCAACUAUAAAAAGCCACAUAGGAAGCCUCUACAUGGUCUUUAAGCUCCCCUUGGGAGACACCUACGAAAUUCACAUCUCUUCUUCUACCUUUUUCUUUUCUUUUAUUUUUGGUUUUAUUUCAGCCAUGAGAGGCUGAAAUAUUUUAUUCUAGUUGAGGAUUGGUUGAAACUAAGGUUGUUUAAUGGGUUGUGAGAUCUGAACAUAAAUUAUUGUCUUUGGUUUUGCUCAAUAUUUUAUGCAAUUGAUGCUUUAAUUACAUGAUUACUUUGUUGUUUUGAUCAAAUUGGCCACUUGAUUUUAAUUGCAAAGUUAAUUGAUUGUUAGUUGGGAUUAUUUUUAGUCCGUAAUUGCUGGAAAUACUCUGACCUUAGAACACUUGGGAUAAAAUCCAAGAAAAUUGCAUGAUCUAGCGUUAUCUCCAUACGUUUGGGUAGCUAGGAUUGGAUCUCUCUAUUUCUUUAUGCAAUUGACAAUUGUUUUGAUGCCUAUGGCCCAAGGACGUUUCUUGGCAAUUUGUUAAUUAGUAAUUAAUUAGAGGACGUUCCCUAAUUAAUUUAAUCAUAAGGAGAGACAUGGUUGUGAGAAGCGUCUUCCACCCCCAUACCUAAUCUAUUGAACCAAUCAAGAUAAUUUAAGUUUCAAUGAUCAACCCAAACAACCAAAGUGGAUCCAUAUCUUCAACUAGGCUUUUCUCAUAUUGAUUUACUCUUUUAUUUUAAUUAUUUGCUUUCUGUUAUUACUCUCAUUAUUAGUUACUGCAAUCAAUCUCAAACCCCCCCAUUUUACUUUUAUUGCAAUUUAUUUUUAUUCUGCUUCCAGUUUAUCUCAUUUGAUCCCACUUUCAGUCUUUUAUCUCAUCUUUAAUUUAUUAUUAUUUCAGUUUAUUUUAUUGGUCUUGUUAAGAAAAAUAAAUAGGUAAUCAAUUCUCUGUGGAUUCGAUCCUUUCACCACUAUCUGCAGUUGUAAAAUUGUUGAUAACCAGAAAGGUUAUUUUUGACCGGCUUCGACAACCGCGAGUCAGGCAGGCUGGUGAUCUGCUGGGUGCAAGGGCUGGACUUUGGGUAUCAGUUCAGUCCAUCACAUUAGGAUGCUGCUACAGUAGGGAUUGGAAGUUACUGAAUGCAAAGGAGUGGCCUACAAACGUGGGGAAGUGAUGCUAGAGUGGGGCAUGUUCUCCCAUGAUGAGUAGUGGGCAUGUUCUCCUAUGAGGGAAGUGGGUAGUUAUAACUCCCAUGAUCAUUAGUGGGCGGUUAUAUAACUUCCAUGAUGAGUAGUGGGUAGUUAUAUAACUCCUAUAAUGAGUAGUGGGCGGAAUUUUCUCCUUAGUGGUUGGGGGUGUCAACCACAACUUCUUGUAGGCUGUUGUUGUAUCCUAUAUAUACUCAUACAUAUGUAAAUAUGGGGGGUUGGCUAGGGAGAGAGCUAAAAAAAGAGCACUGCUGGAACAUUUUGGGAGAAGUUAUGUGAGAGGUGUCUCAUGUAUUGUUUCCUUUUAGUGAAUGAAAGGUUGGGAAAGUUAUUUCCUGUAAAUACUAUUGUCUUGCACUUUGUUGGUUGAGAUUUUAUGCCUUUUGAACCUCACUUUGUGAGAGAGUGUGGCUGAGCCAAGUGGGAUUUUUUGGUUGCCUAGCAGGUUUUCUAAGUGAUUGUUCCGCUGCGUGUAUUUUGACUUAGACCCCUGUGACAAUUUGGACACAGAGAUCCUAGCAGCAGCAAAAUACUGUUCCAUGUCCUAGAGGUUUGGUUGCUCUGAUACCAAGUGUAAACUGUGAAUAUGAUCACCCCAAAGAUGUAAGCGAUACUGCAGAUCUAAGGCUUUGAAGGUUCUGCAACUUUUGAAACCUUUGCAGUUUCUGUAAUUUUUCUGCAGAAUUUUGAAAAAACAGAGGAAAGGAAAUUUACUCAGAUUCCUUUAAAAUUUGACUCACCUCCUCAAUUUCAUUGAGGUAUUGCCUUAUUUAUACUUAAACUAAAAAAACUGAAAAACAAGCUUUAAUCCGAGCAUCACGCCACAUUACGUAAAUCUCAGAUUGAACGAAGAUCAAGCGCUGACCAAUUCAAAAAAAUAAACAUGCAGAAACAGAUUCGGAAACAACAUGCAAAAUGGGUGCAAAGUGGAUACGUGUAACAGCUGGCUUAACAACUGGCAUAGCAAGCUUAAUUUCUUCAUUUCUCUCCCGUAAGCUUGUUCUUCACAUCUUUGAUCCCAAUCAUCAUGCUCAAGUCAUCGAUUUUGUCUCGGGACAGUGGCUUUGUCAGAAUAUCAGCGAGUUGUGAUUCAGUUUUUACAUACUCGAUUUCGACUUCUCCUCUUUGGACACACUCCCGAAUGAAAUGAAACUUAAUAUCUAUGUGCUUACUUCUGUUAUGAUGGACGGGAUUCUUUGUGAGAGCGAUUGCAGAUUUGUUGUCAACUCUUAACACAAACUUGUUUGUCUUCCAACCGAUCAACUCAUGUAACAGCCUACUAAUCCAUAUGCCUUGACAAGCUCCUGCUGUUGCAGCAAUAUACUCGGCUUCACAUGAGGAUAAGGCUACAACUUUCUGCUUUUGAGAAAUCCAGGUGACAGGGCUUUGGCCGAGGAAGUAGAUUACCCCUGUCAUGCUUUUUCGAUCAUCCACGUCUCCGGCUAAGUCACUGUCGCUAUAACCUACUAGCUUGAACUCCUCCUCUUCCACCUUGUUGUAUAUGCACCCAUGAUGUAAGGUGCCUUUCACAUAACGCAAUAUCUGUUUCACGGCUGCUAGAUGUUUCGUUGUUGGGGCUUCCAUGAAACGACUUACAAUUCUAACUGAAUAUGCAAGAUCGGGUCGAGUGUUCACCAAAUACCUCAAACUUCCGAUUGCACUCCUGUAUAGUGUUGCAUCUACCGAAGGACUUCCAUCUGACCUGCUCAGCCUCACCCGUGUAUCCAUUGGAACCCGACAUGGCUUGCACUCAGCCAGGCCGAGCUUCUCGAGCAUCUUCUCAGCAUACCUUGACUGGUUAAGGGUGAUGCUAUACGGCCUUUGCUUGACUUCUAUACCCAAGUAGUAGCUUAGCAUCCCAAGAUCACUCAUCUCGAAGAUCUUUCUCAUCUUGGCUUUGAAAUUCUCCACACCUCUCGGUUUUGAGCCCAUGAUUAUCAGAUCAUCUACGUACACUCCCACAAUCUGCACUUCAUCUCCAUUGUGUUUUUUGUAGACUGCAUGUUCGAUCAUACAACUUUGAAACCCCAGCUCUCGGAAACAUUUGUCUAGCUUUAUAUUCCAUGCCCGAGGCACCUGCUUAAGACCAUACAGGGCCUUUCGUAGCUUCAGAACCUUUCCUUCCUCUCCUUGUUCAAUGAAUUCGUCUGGUUGUGACACAUAAACUUCUUCUUCUAUCUCACCAUUCAAGAAUGCAGAUUUGACAUCCAUAUGAUGUACUAUCCAUCCUUCUUGUGCGGCUACAGCAAGUAACACUCUCACUGUCUCUAGUCUGGCUACAGGAGCAAAGUCUUCUUCAAAGUCUAUGCCUUGUUUCUGCACAUACCCCUUCGCAACAAGACUCGCUUUAUACUUAAUGAUCUCCCCUUCUGGCUUCUUCUUUACUUUAAAGAUCCAUUUCAGACUAAUAGCUCUCUGGUCCUUUGGGAGUUCUACUAGUUCCCAUGUUCCAUUUCUCCUGAUAGCCUCCAUUUCUUCUAUCAUUACUUGUCGCCAAUGUUCACUGCAGGCAGCUUCAUGGUAAGAUGAUGGUUCUUCAAUUGACAUCAGGUAAAGACCGUAGUCUUGAUCGAUCUCCACUGUGUUGUCAUAAAUUUCUCGAAGAGUUUUGAACCUCUUUGGUCCCUCUGAGUUGCUUUCUCAUGUCUCUGAAUGUUCUGAACCUGACCCGGCUAUAGGUGAUAAGGAAGCCGGCGUCAGUUCCUGACUUCGGAGGUUUUUGUCUUCUUCCGUUUGUGCUUCCUUGUAUGUGAUGAUAAGUGGUCCUUCUGUUGUGGAGUUUGAUGUUGUCUGGUUUUGCCAUUCCCACUUCUCUUAUUCCUGAAACACAACAUCCCGACUUACCACAAUUAGAUUAGUAUUUGGGUUCAAUAACCGGUAUGCUUUGGACCCUGGUUCAUAUCCCAAUAAAACCAGCUUCAUGCUUCUAUCAUCCAAUUUUCUCAAGUAAGGAGCUGUGUUCUUGGCAUAUGCAAUGCAACCAAAAACACGCAUAUGAUGAACACUGGGAAGUCUUCCAUGCCACGCUUGAUACGGAGUCAUGCCUUGGACACUUCUUGUGGGUGAUCAGUUUAAUAUGUAUACUGCAAUACCUGCAGCUUCUGCCCAAUAUGUAGCUGGCACUCCGGAACUAUUCAAGAGACACCUUAUCAUCUCCACUACGAUUUUGUUUCUCCGCUCUACUACUCCGUUUUGCUGUGGGGAAUAAGGAGCAGUGAGCUGGCGUUUGAUGCCGUGUAACUCGCAGAACUUGCUGAACUCAUUUGAUGUAAACUCGCCUCCUCUGUCUGUUCUAAACAUUUUGAGCUUACAUUCGGACUGGACUUCGAUAUGAGCUUUUACUUUCUUGAAAACACUAACAACCUUAUCUUUUCUUUUGAGCAUCUCAAUCCACAUAUAACGACUGUAAUCAUCCACGAGCAAGAGAAAAUACCUAUUCCGCCACAUGUGGUAGGUGAUAUUGGCCCGCACAAGUCACCGUGCACGAGUUCCAGAGGUUUGGUUGCUUGAUACUCUCCUGCUUUCAGGAAACUCGUGCGAUGCUGCUUGCUGAUCACACAUUAUUCAUAGAUGUGCUUUACUAUUUCUAUUUCCGGUAAACCUUCUACCAUGCUUUCUUGUGCAAGCUUGCGUAAUGCUUGAUAGUUGAGGUGCCCGUAGUGAGCAUGCUAUAAGUAAGAUUUUUCAGACAGCCAUGUCAGGUGGCACUCUGAUUUUGCUUGUGUCAUUCUCAUCAUGUAAAGGCGAUUUUUCGCUCUCUGCACCUUGACUAUCAACCUGUCCUUUGCAUCAUAUACUCUCAGAAUCCCUGCUUUUACCACCACUUUUGCCCCUAAUUCGUCGAGUUGACCAAGACUUAUAAUAUUGAAUCUUAAUCGAGGAAUGUAAUAUACAUUCGUUAGUUUAAAAUGAUCUCCAUCCUUGCACUGAAACACUGAGGUGCCUCGGCCUUCUACCUUGAUGACUGAACCAUCACCGAACCUGACAUUCCCUUUGAUUGAUUCAUCGAGAUUGGUUAAGGCUAGCUUAUUGCCUGUCAUAUGGUUGCUUGCCCCUGUAUCAUAGUACCACAUGGUUCCUGUCGUUUCUCCUCCAUAGAAAUCAUGCAUCUGUUCUUCAUUCAGCAUCGGCUCUUCUUUCUUCUCUUCGUCGAUAUGGAUUAGCUCACUGGUUUCUAGCAUUAACAACGUUGACUCCUCUUCGAAUUGCUCCACUAAAUGUGCCUCAUUUUUUUCUUGUCUUUCAGCUUUGCAAUCAGAUUGAAAAUGGCCAUAUUCAUUGCAAUUAUAACACCUGACCUUUUUAAUGUCGAACUUCUGACGGUGUUGUCCUUCAUCAUCCUGACCUCGGCCUGUUCCAAGAGGGCCACGACCCCUGCCGCGACCUCCUCCUCUACCUCUGCCGCGUCCUCUACCACGUCCACGUCCCCGUCCCCGGCCUCUGCUCACGUCCUGUGGGCGCUUCUCGUUGGAUCUUAAGGACUCAGCUCGUGCUUUCCACUCUCCUUUAGUGAGUAGCACAUAUUCGUCUCCUCUGGAAUCGUAGCUCCGCGACCUCUCCUCGUGAGCUUUGAGAGAACCAGUUACAUCUUCAAUUGUCUUAACAGACAAGUUCCCAAAUUCUUCUAUGGUUGAGGCAAUCUGAAGGUAUUUAGGGGACACUGAACGUAGCAUUUUCUUCACUACAUACGUUUCAUCAACCCUUUCACCAAGAGCUCAGAAUCCCGUCCAUCAUAACAGAAGUAAGCACAUAGAUAUUAAGUUUCAUUUCUUUCGGGAAUGUGUCCAAAGACGAGAAGUCGAAAUCAAGUAUGUAAAAACUGAAUCACAACUCGCUGAUAUUCUGACAAAGCCACUGUUCCGAGACAAGAUCGAUGACUUGAGCAUGAUGAUUGGGAUCAAAGAUGUGAAGAAUAAGCUUACGGGGGAGAAAAGAAGAAAUUAAGCUUGCUAUGCCAGUUGUUAAGCCAGCUGUUACACGUAUCCACUUUGCACCCACUUUUGCAAAGGUGCUGAAAGCAGGGAUUCUGAGAGUAUAUGAUGUAAAGGACAGGUUGAUAGUCAAGGUACAGAGAGCGAAAAAUCGCCUUUACAUGAUGAGAAUGACACAAGCAAAAUCAGAGUGCCACCUGACAAGGCUGUUUGAAAAAUCUUACUUAUGGCAUGCUUGCUACGGGCACCUCAACUAUCAAGCAUUACGCAAGCUUGCACAAGAAAGCAUGAUAGAAGGUUUACCAUAAAUAAAAACAGUAAAGCACAUUUGUGAACAAUGUGUGAUCAGCAAGCAGCAUCGCACAAGUUUUCCGAAAGCAGGAGAGUAUCAAGCAACCAAACCUUUGGAACUCGUGCACGGUGACUUGUACAGGCCAAUAUCACCUACCACAUGUGGCGAAAAUAGGUAUUUUCUCUUGCUCGUGGAUGAUUACAAUCGUUAUAUGUGGAUUGAGAUGCUUAAAAGAAAAGAUGAGGUUGUUAGUGUUUUCAAGAAAGUAAGAGCUCAGAUCGAAGUCCAGUCCGAAUGUAAGCUCAAAAUGUUUAGAACAGACAGAGGAGGUGAGUUUACAUCAAAUGAGUUCAGCAAGUUCUGCGAGUUACACGACAUCAAACGACAGCUCACUGCUCCUUAUUCCCCACAGCAAAACGGAGUAGUAGAGCGGAGAAACCAAACCGUAGUGGAGAUGAUAAGGUGUCUCUUGAAUAGUUUCGGAGUGCCAGCUACAUAUUGGGCAGAAGCUGCACGUACUACAGUAUACAUAUUGAAUAGAUCACCCACAGGAAGUGUCCAAGGCAUGACUCUGUAUCAAGCGUGGCAUGGAAGACUUCCCAAUGUUCAUUAUAUGCGUGUUUUUGGUUGCAUUGCAUAUGCCAAGAACACAGCUCCUCACUUGAGAAAAUUGGAUGACAGAAGCAUGAAGUUGGUUUUAUUGGGAUAUGAACCAGGGUCCAAAGCAUACCGGUUAUUGAACCCAAAUACUAAUCUAAUAAUGGUAAGUCGGGAUGUUGUGUUUCAGGAAGAAGAGAAGUGGGAAUGGCAAAACCAAACAACAUCAAACUCCACAACAGAAGGACCACUUAUCAUCACAUACAAGGAAGCACAAACGGAAGAAGAAAAAAACCUCUGAAGUCAGGAACUGACGCCGGCUUCCUUAUCACCUAUAGCCGGAUUAGGUUCAGAACAUUCAAAGACAGGAGAAAGCAGCUCAGAUGGACCAAAGAGGUUCAGAACUCUUCAAGAAAUUUAUGAAAACACAGUAGAGAUCAAUCAAGACUACGGUCUUUACCUGAUGUCAAUUGAAGAACCAGCAUCUUACCAUGAAGCUGCCUGCAGUGAACAUUGGCGACAAGCAAUGAUAGAAGAAAUGGAGGCUAUCAGGAGAAAUGGAACAUGGGAACUAGCAGAACUCCCAAAGGACCAGAGAGCUAUUGGUCUGAAAUGGAU
rnacentral:lncRNA from 1 species